rnacentral:rRNA from 1 species
UAUAAACUUUUUACAACCGGUAGCGAUGGAUCCCUUGGCACGUCAUUCGAUGAAGACCGUUGCAAAUUGCGAUAAAGUGAUGUGAUGCGCAAGUCCACCACUUAUACGUGAAUCAUCGAGUUGUUGAACGCAUUGCACCGCGCCCUAAUCCGGCUGC